AUUGAACGCUGGCGGCAUGCUUUACACAUGCAAGUCGAACGGCAGCACGGGGGGGUAACUCUCUGGUGGCGAGUGGCGAACGGGUGAGUAAUGCAUCGGAACGCGUCCUGUAAUGGGGGAUAACCUGCCGAAAGGUGGGCUAAUACCGCAUACGUCCUGAGGGAGAAAGCGGGGGAUUGGCAACGACCUCGCGUUACAGGAGCGGCCGAUGUCGGAUUAGCUAGUUGGUGGGGUAAAGGCCCACCAAGGCGACGAUCCGUAGCGGGUCUGAGAGGAUGAUCCGCCACACUGGGACUGAGACACGGACCCGACUCCUACGGGAGGCAGCAGUAAGGAAUAUUGGUCAAUGGAGGGAACUCUGAACCAGCCAUCCCGCGUGAAGGAUGAAGGGGCUCUGCCUUGUAAACUUCUUUUGCAUGGGACGAAAAAACUUAAUUUAUUAAGGACUGACGGUACCAUGAGAAUAAGCACCGGCUAACUCCGUGCCAGCAG
rnacentral:rRNA from 1 species